ensembl:lncRNA
UUGUGUCUCCAAAGGUAGUGAUAUACAUUACUGGAUUAAUUUUAUCUCCAAAAUAUAAGCAGUAAAGUUACAUCAAUUACUUGCUCUUUCAAAUUGAAUUCAGGGACUUCACAACUUCAUCCACAGUAACUGAGAAAACCCCAGUGAGCUUGUGCAUUAUAAUACAGGACAAUGCUGCCAAUUCCAAGUGUUAUGAGUUAUGUUUUUACUUAAAUUCCAGUAUUGGAGUCUGCUGUGCAAGACACGUCUACACCCGUCGUUGCUGACUGAAUCUUCACGUCAUGGCCUGUGUGUUCUGUGUAGUCCCUGAUAGUGCAACUCAGGGGAAAUACUAGCAGAGAGGCUGCAAGUAGUCUGUGGAUAACCUGUGAAGAUCCCCGAAGUUUUUCUGUGUGGGACUGACAUUAAUUUUGAGGAUUGGAAUGAGCACUGCAGAUAGAGCAAUGUGUUUUUCAGCUAAGAGGGUUUAACCUUCUUUGUCAAUGACAAAUGCUCAUGUAGAUGCACUAAGAGGAUAUUUGAGCUUGGAAAAGUUGGGAGGUACUCCGGGAUUUGUUUUUCACCUGCAAGCAAGCAGCACAGCUUUAAAGGGCUGUUUGAAGAUCUUCAACAGAUCGGAUCUGCUUUCUCUCCUCUCCCUUCUGCUCCCUCUUGCCAUGCCUGUGCUGACGGUGAUUACCUCUUUCUGAGUAAAAUGGCAUUAUUGAGAGCAAAGCAUAAACUUGCUUUCUAAAAGAUAGAUAUUUGCUUGUCAGUCUGUGUUUCUUGAGUACUAAGCUUGAAGCUGUAUAAAAGCUGCAUGUAUCUUGACAAUUAGUGAAUUUAUAGCAAAAUAAUAUAGCAGAUUAAUUCUAACAUUAAUUCUGACCAGUGUGGCAUUAAGUGAAAUUUAGAAAGAAAUCAGUUUUCCUUGCAGACAGAGGAGAGAACACUCACUGAUGCAAAUCCCCCAGUUCCAUAUUAAAUUGCACCUUUUUUAGGUGCUUAAACACUUGCAAAAUCUGUGUCUGUCUUUGUCUUUUGCCUUCACUAUGUGACAUGUGAGGGAAAGUUAAAAAGAACUCAUCAGUGGCUGCACAUGUCAGAGUCUUCCUUGAGAAGAAAGUAGGAAGAUGCCACAGCUGGUAAUAUUUGAAGUCAGUAUUGGGAAUCAAGAGAGCAAAUGCUUAAAUGUGCCAUUGCAGCUAUGUAGCUGGCAAUACUAACUAGCAGUAGUACCUGGAAUAAUAAUUCCAUCUGGAGAGAAACAUUUGGCAGUGGUUGAACAUCCUUGUCCUUGCCCACCAGGAAGUGAUUGUGGUGAUUUUUUAGGUUUGGUUUUGUUUUAUUUUUGUUUGUUUUUUGGUUUUUUUUUUUAGACAGCUUGCCCUGGGCUUCAUCCAUACCUCCAAGUCAAUCCAAGCAAUUGCUCUGGUUUCAUUGGGAGCAAGGACAGAAACUUUGAAUAAGCUGAGUUGGAGACUUUGUAUUUUGAGCAGUGGAAGUGGCACAGAGGAGCACAGAACUAACAAAGAACAGUCACACUGAGUACAAUGCAGAGUUUUCAUGCAGUUAAUGGGAUUGGAAUUGGUAACCUGAUACUCCAAAGAGAUAACAAAGGCUAUUUAGCAUACA